rnacentral:misc_RNA from 1 species
GAUGAAGAACGUAGCGAAAUGCGAUAAGUAGUGUGAAUUGCAGAAUUCAGUGAAUCAUCGAAUCUUUGAACGCACAUUGCGCCCCUUGGUAUUCCAUGGGGCAUGCCUGUUCGAGCGUCAUUUGUACCUUCAAGCUCUGCUUGGUGUUGGGUGUUUGUCUCGCCUCUGCGUGUAGACUCGCCUCAAAACAAUUGGCAGCCGGCGUAUUGAUUUCGGAGCGCAGUACAUCUCGCGCUUUGCACUCAUAACGACGACGUCCAAAAGUACAUUUUUACACUCUUGACCUCGGAUCAGGUAGGGAUACCCGCUGAACUUAAGCAUAUCAAUAAGCGG